GAGAAGUUGAGGAGGGGGUAGACCAGGACGAGGUGGAGGCCGUAGCUGAGACGGACGAGGUCGUUGACCAGCGGAGGAACGUCGGAACCGGAUGUUCUAUCGAAGUUGGAGAGUAUGUCGGCCAUGGUGGCGUCCCCGAAGAGGAGGUAGCCGGAGAGGCCGACGGUGGCGUAGAUGACGGAGCAGAGGAUCAGAGAGAGCCUCACGGCCUUCGUCAUGUCCGACGACUUCUGCAGCUCCGCCCGGAUGGGAUGAACUGGGAAUACACGAGGAGUGGGCCACAUAAGCCGGAGAUUGAGUCAACGGGAGGAUGAAAGCUUUCCGGAGAGUACUCACCGUUGAAGUGGAAGGUGAAGGCGAGGACGAUGACCGGGACGGCGGUGAAGAGCUCGAAGAAGGAGGUUCCGGAGCCGAAAUCUGGCAGAAGCCUUGGGGUCCUGGUUGUCCCUCUGUAUAGCGCGUAGAGGGCCAUGGUGGAGCUGAUGGCGACGAACACCACCGCAAGAAAAACCGAGACGGCUGAGGAAAACCUCAGGGAAUCUGCCAUGAAUCGACAAGUAAGGAAUCCCUAACAGAACACAGAUUCUUCAACAGACGGGAUCAUUAAGUUCCUCCCUAGAAAUGGUCAACGAUCAGUGGAAUCAGCCUUACCACUCAAUCUCCGGUUUCUAAUUUAAAUAUCCUAAAGCAUGGAGUCGAUUCGCCGCACUAAAGAAAUAGCUUCUCGGGUCGAUUCAAUCCAAAUGCAAACAAAAAAUCAUUGAAUCCAUAUGCCAUUAAAUAAAAUUUCCAUUUGUGUUUGAUUAUCAGGAUGCGAGAGAGAGAGAGAGAGAGAGAGAGAGAGAGAGAGAGUGAGUGAGUGAGUGAGAGAGAGAGAGAGUUUCAUGGGUCCGCCGUGGGGGUCUCCCCGAGAGGAUAAGGAUGGAUCGUGAUGCGUUGAAGCACGCCACACAUAAAAGAAAAAUAAAAGCUCUCCAUGUGCACGCGUAACAGUGCUGAAAACUUUCACGCAACCAGCUGGACAUCGUACGAUAGCGUGAGUAUAAUCCGACCAGUGGCAUAGCUCCGGUGGAUCAAAAGCUACUGUCUGUCUGUCUGUCUCUCUCUCACUUCUACGCACACAGACACAUACCGACACACAGAAGGCUAGUAAGAAGGUCAAAUCUUCCUGCCCCGUUGAUAUCGGUGACAAGCCGAGCCCGUUGACCCCUUAAUCACAGCUUUAGAUCUUAUGUAUUUUCCAAAUUAUCCAAUGCGACUUCGAAAACUAUGCCGAUGAAGUAAGGCAAAGCAAGACGGAGGGGCGAGAGAGAGAGAGAGAUGAGUCCAAAGGGACACUGACCUACUCGCCGGAGGAGGAGAAGAGGAAGCAACACGAAGACGAUGGUGAAGAGGAGCGCCACCGGGCGGGAGUUCCACCAGUGGUCGCCGAACCACUCCUGCAGCACUCCCAGGUGUCCCGCCCCCUCCGACUGGUUCCCCGACAGCACGUCCCCUGCUCCCACGCCCACGCAGACGAAGUCAGUGGAAGAAGAUCAUGAUUGAGGAAGAAGAUACACGGGUGGUGUAGGUGAGCUGCUACCGAUGAUGAUGAGGUACAUGAUGAGGGCGCCGAGGUUGGUGAGGAUGACGCAGAGCUGCAGCGCCGUGGCACCGGGCCUCCCGAAGGACUCCGCCAUGAUGCCGGCGUAGGACAUGACCUUGCCGCAAUUGGUGUACCGCAGUAGGAACUCCACGGAGACGUCGCACAGGAGCGCCACCGCCAGGAUCAAUGCCACCGCCGGGCCAACGCCGAGCACCUUCAGCGUCGCCGGAAUCGACAUGAUUCCGGCGCCGAUGAUGCUGGUCGACAGGUUGAACACCGCGCCAGAGACGGAGGCGGAGCCCUCCGCGGGCUCCGCGACCUCGUACUCCGGCAGCAGCGGAGCCUGCACGCCGCCGGCGUGCUUUCCCGUCGGCGUCUUCAUCGGGAGGCGGGCGAGGAUACUAGCGGCGGUGACUCCAUCUUAAAGCGCAUCAUCCGUACGAUUACUAUUAGGCCCCGGCAGCUGUGCCGCCAACACCAUCCGACGGCGAUCCAGGGUUGACACGCCAUCACUCUGAGCUUCGAUCUAGAUGGACGGCUGAGGUCCCCUUUACGGGUCUCGCGCAGUCUCCAUUUGAGGGGUAAAUGGUCAAUUCACCGGAACAGCUUCUCCCGCCAGCUCUUCUUUACCUGUUGGCGCCGCCGACGGCUCAACUUGGCUGGCGGGUUUUCUAAAAAGAAAGAAAAAACGAAAUAGAGCUCAUUGAACAUGGACGGGAUUCCGUCUGCCUUAACACGUGUUGAACAUGAGAGACAGGCAGAGCGUGUCCCACUGGACACGCGCGCAGCCAUCAUGCCUCUCCAGCCCCCGGUUUGCAUUCUAAUGGGUCCCAGUGUCUCCGGUCCACUCAUCUCUGGACCGCGAUCGGAUUGGAUCAGCUCGCCCAUGGGAAGCCCAGAGAUUGGAUCGGACCCAAGUCCAGAUUGGGCAAUCUCACGGACCACGGUCUCCUUGCAUUCUCCCCACUCUCCCUCCAUUACCCUCUGACUUCUCUCCCACGUAGACUUUGGCCUUGUCCAGUUCUGGUUGCUCGGGUUGACCCAAUUUCCGGUUUAAUAGCUCCAACUAUAGAUCUUACUAUGCAAAAAGUUUAAAAUAGAAAGUAUAUCCCCUUUGAGGGAGCCCUCAUGAAUUAAGGUUAUUUACUUUUGGCACUCCUUUUCUUUCUGCGCCACAUGUCACCCCCUCCCCCAUUUGGUACAAGAAGGGGUGCCUCCAACCAUUUCCUAUGGAAUCUCUCAACCUUUGGUGUUUGAUAGAGAGAUGUUAUGGUAGGUCAACUAGGGAUAACAAAAAAUUUGGUAAGGUUGAGAAGAUGAGCCUUGUUGAAGUUUGCACAACAUUGGUGACACUAGUAACACAGUUUCAAAAAGAUGGUUGUGCCAUAACAAUGUCCCUUGCUUGGAGCAACAGGUGAUGAUGCCCUAAGGCAUAAAUAAUUUAAUAUUACAUUUUAUGAGAAAAUAUAUCAUUAAAGUUAGAUAUUAUCUUCAAGUCCAUGAUAAUUACUUAAUAUAUUUUAUAUAUUAAAUUUAAUUAUUUACCUCAUGAUAUUAUGAUUAAUCAACUAAUCAAGGAAUUAAUUAUUAAGAUUAAUAUAUCUAUUAAAUAAGUGAAGUGCUAGAUUUAUGUAAAUAAACAUUUGCUAGAAAAUAAAUAUUAAAAUAGGUAAAUGAGGGAAGGUAAGUUAUGUUUAUUAUUUUGAUUAAUUUAUCUAUAUUAUCUGACUAUUUAAGUCCAACCAUUUAAGUUAGUCACAUGCAUUAUGAAAAGAAAAAGAUCUUUAGUAUACAAGAUCAAAAGAAUUCUCUUGAAUCUGUAUGAGAGGUAUCAAAAUCCCACAACAAAAGAUAGAACCUUGAAAGAAAGUUUAUACUAUUGAAUAAAUGUCAAUGAGACUGGAACAUGCAACUUUUAAAUAGGCCUAAAGUUUAUUAAAGUGCCCCAAAAAAAGUAAUUACAUUAUGUUGACACCUUAAGAUUGAUUUCACUCAUAUUGAAAUAAAUUUACUAAAAGUAGGAAAUAAAAUUAAAAGUGAUAAAAGUAAUUUAUGACAUGUUUAGGAUGUAUUUUACUAUGGGCCAAAUGAGAUUUUUGGCCAUCUCAUUCCAAGAGUCCAAUCUUCACCUUCCUAGGUUUAUUGUCCACAACUUAGGUCAUGGAUGACAUACAUCAAAAUGUAUCACCAUAAAGAAUGAUAUUCUCAAUGUAAAAUUCUAAAUGUAAAAUAUAAUAUUUUUAUUCAAUCUCAUCAUUACACAUUUUGUAUUUAUUAAUUCUAUGUAUUUAUAAUCAUUACCUCCUAAUUAAAUAUUAUAAUAGUAAUUAUUUUCAUUAAAAAUUAUCAAAAAUAUAUUAAAUGAUAUCUAUUAGUUGAUUUAUAAAUAGGUGAAGUGUAGAAGAGGUGAAUCUAGAAGAGAAGAGCAUCCAAAAAAAUCACUCCACUACACCUUAAGAGGAGGACGAAAAGUGGAGAGGAUCAAAUAUUCUUUUAUAAUAAAAUGGGGUAAACAUAUAUAGAUAGAAAAAUAAUGAAAGAUAAAGAGGAUACCUCCUUUGCAAGGGAGAGAGGGGAGCCUAGUGGACUGUCAAACUACAGCCAACUUAGGUCACGAGCCCCCUCAAACUCCUUAAAUCUUAAAACAGACCGUCCCUUAUAUAGGGACUAACUCAUGCACAUAAAAGAUGAACAUACCCCUCUUAUAUAUUUUUUGAUAUUUCUGACAUUCUCUUACAAAAUGAACUUCAAGAAAAGUUCAUUUUAAAUAAAUAUGGUCUUCAAGUGCUCCUAUUACUAUGAAGAUGAUAAUCAACAACUUUAAAAUAAGUGAUCAUCAGUGAAAGUAAAAUAUGAGUCUUCGUCUAUAGUAACUCUCUACUGACAUCAGCAUAUGCCGCUCAAAUAUUGUUGCUCCAUGUAGUAAAAAGGGCUUUAACACUAGUUGACGCUAAUAAUGUACUACUUAAACACUACUUUAGCAAGUAAUAAAUAAGGAUUAAACCUUUGCUAGCGUAGCUAAACAUGGCACUAUAAAUGGACUACUUCUUGACUCCUUAAAUUACUUUUAUAACACAUUGAUGCCUCAUAUGUUAGACCUACAGUCUUCUUCCAUUGUUCAUUGCCAAAAUAUAUAUAGUCUUCAUUCCUUUUAAUAUUUUUUUGUCUCCUUGAAUAUCAAAUCAUUCUUGCUUCCACAACCUUCAUAACUCCUCAUUUCUUUACUAUUGGAGAGACCUCUCUAUGUCCUCACCUAAAUAGUUCAACAAAAAAGAUGAGCAAAGGUUGGGCUCUUGCUUUGGCAAUGAUGAGUAGAGGUUAGGCUCUAAGGCUAACCCCUUUGCUAAGCUCAACAUAUGGAGACAUAUCGUCAAAGGUAAGUAUCCUUUGUGCUUCCGAUAAACAUCCUAAUGGUUGCUUGUCAUGUUGUUGUCUCAAACCUUUAGUAUCAUGAUAUAUGACACCGAAAAUAUCUAACCAUUUCUCUACAAACUCCUUCUAUCACAUACGAUGAAUCUCCCAUCAACUCUUGCUCAACUUCUAGAGGUUCAAGGUUUCUUGGGUUUAGGCUCAUCUAAACCUUGACAGCCAAAGUAAUGGACACACCUAGGUUGCUAGUUCACUAAAACAAAGGACGAAACCAACAAGGAUGAAACCCUAGGGACCCCAUAACUCUUGAAUCCUAAAUAGACAUUGGUGGACAGGGUAUACUCUAGGAUUUCGUAGGAACCUUAGGGAUGACGAUUGAGGACUUUGCAAACAGGGGAUGAAAGGUGAAAGUCUUAGUUCAAAGAAAAUCAUAGAUUGGUUUUUGGCAAACCCUAACUUUGAUACUAUGUAGUAACACACAAAGAGAAAGAUAUAAUGAGACAGAUCACAUAGCGACACAAAAGGAGAAAGGGAUACAGAGAUAGAGAGAAAAGGGAAUCUCUCCUCACAAACAGAGGGGAGAGCAAGGACUGCAACCUCACACUAUUCUCUCUAACCUAGUCCUUAUAUAAGGACAAACUCAAACAUAUUUUCCAUAAUGUUAGAAUUAUCAUAAAAUGUAUAAGAAGAAUAUUUCAUCUUCUUUUUGUAUGAGUCAAUCUUUGUAUAAGGGACACUCUAUUUUAGGGUUUAGUAAGUUUGAGAGGGCUCAUGACCUAAGUGAGCCCUAGUUUGACAAUUUGUUGGGCUCCUCUCUCUCCCAUGUAGAAGAGGUAUCAUCUUUAUCUUUUGUUGUGUUUCUAUCCUUAUAUGUUUACCCCAUUUUAUUAGAAAAGAAUAUUUGUUCCUCUCCAUUGUCCAUCCUUCUCUUGAGAUUUAGUAGAAGGAUUCUUUCUCUAUUUUCAUAUCAUGUCAUCCUUUGUGUUGUGGUGCUCUUAUCUUUUAAAUUGUCUCUUUUACACUUCAUUCAUCUAUAGAUCCACUAUUAGAUAUCAAUUAAGAGUUUUUCUAACACAGUAUCAAAAUCACUAUCCUAAGGCACAUUUCCUUACUACCAUUGCUUCUGGCAACCUCUUCUGUGUUAUGUUCUAGAACCUUUUAGUAGCCUCUUGUAUUGCAACUGGACACCUAUGGCAGCUUCUUUUGUGUUACACUUGGAGCCUUCUAGUAGCACUUCUUUUACUGCAUCAAGGAUCCUCCAGUAGCCUCUGUGCCACCACCUUAAAGCAAGACAAAUUAUCUCCAUCUCCAAUGGGGAUGUUGUGCCUCACAUCAUCGUCAUGCCCCACAUCGUCAUUGUCGUUGUCAUGCCACUAUGUUGUUGUCGCCAUCUUAGGUUUAACCCUAGCACUACCAUCUUUGUUGAUGUUUUGUUGAAACCCUAAGGUUUUGUCUUCAUUCAUGCUGCUUAGGUUUCAUCCUCUAUAGCUUAUAUCCGACAUCACCCCUUGUUGAGUGUCACCUAUUGCACAUUAGAGGUAGUAUUGCUCAUGCCUAAAGGGAUCCUUGAUAUAAUAUUAUUAUCCAUUAGAGAUAGCCUUGUUCUAAUAUGAGGGAGCCUUAUUGUAGUGUUGCUAUUGACUUUGGAGGUAGCAUAGUUUUUGUUUGGAGGAGUUGAUCCAAUAUGGUUGGAGGUCUUCUACAUUGUUAUAAGAGAGUUAUUAUAGAUGGAAACCACAAAGGAGUUAUCAUAGAGUGUUAGACCUUUUCUUUCAUUGUAUCAAGAUAAACUUUUUUAAAAUUCAUCUUAAGGGAGAGUGUUGGCAUGUGUAAGGGUAUUAUGAGAAAUAUGUUUGGGCUUGUCCCUAUAUAAGAGACUAGGUUAGAGAGAAUAUGGAAGGUCGACAAUCUGUCGCUCUCCCUUCUGUCUAUGAGGACAAAGGUUCUCAUUUUUUCUCUCUCUAUCUCUUUCUCUUUAUGUGGCAGUCGCUACAUGACAUCUCUCCUUGUGUCUUUCUACAUAUAAGUAUUACUACACAUAAUACCCUUACACAUGCUAACAAAAAUAUUUACACUAAAUAUCAAAAUGAUUAUAAGUAGAUAUUUCAUGCAUAUUACUAAUCUUAAAUAUUUAACAUGAAAUACCAUCUAUUUAGUUUCAUUUGGACUAUUAAAAUAUGAUCAAUUUAUUAAUCAUAUAUUCAUGACUAUUACUUUUCAUAUGUCAAUCCAAAUAGUGAUUUAAGUGAUUCCUUUCUAGAAAAAUUUUAGAUCAUCAGAUUUAUAAUUCUAUAAUUAUUUAAUUCAUUCUUACAUAUGCUUAUCAUCAUCAUCAAAAUGUAUCCAGUUCUUGAAGCAAACAAGAGUAUUGUAAAGAGAGGUUGGCCUCCCCUUCAUUAGUAUAUUUUUAUCUAAAAAUAAUAUAUAAUCUUUUGAUUGAAAAAAGCUUAUGCAGGAGAAGACUAAUUGAUGGUGAUGAUAGGAUGAGGUAAGCCUAAGAGGUGGCAUAGUUCCAAGGUAAGUGGGCCUAUUGGGCGCAUGGUGGAAGAACCCUAGGAGAUGGUGGUUACCAACUCUCUUGUUGUAGAAUGACAUCCGACAAGGAAGAUACUCGAUAAAGGUGGCCCAAAGGGUCUGUCACCCCCCUCAAUGUUUCCCUAUUAACAAGUAAUGCCCAACAAACAAUAUUAUUUCACUUAUACUAUAAUAAUGUUCGAUUAACCCUUUCAUUACUAUAGAGAACUAUCCAUGCACUUGUAUUUCACAUUAAAUUGCCAUGUGCAUAGAUAAUAUCUAGUACUUGCAAUGUUCCAAUGUCACAUCAAGUGACUUGGCUGCUACCAAAAUUAUGACAUCCUGGAAAUGAAUUUAUUUUCCUAAGAAAAAUAUCCACCGUAAAUUCCCUCACGCGUACUAUUUAUUUAUAUUAUUCGAUUAUGGACAAAUAUGAUAUAGUCUCAAGGCUGCGACAGAAUUUCACCAUUGUCUUUCAUACCCUUUUGGACCCACGAUUCAAAGAUAUUAAUUCCAUCAUUUUUAAUGUGAGAUAAUCGAAACUCAGACAACAGCAACACGUGUCCAGUUGACUGAUACGGGCCAGUGCGCUGGCUGCAUGGCUUUGUCUCCAUAAACUGUUCACUUUCUACUCUCUAUUGAGCCGAUAAGGUUGGAAGAUAUUGCGAUGGCGCUCGUCACCGCGGCCAGGGCAAUCAUCGUCGCCGCCAUCACCUUGUCUCGCCGGCAAGCGACUCCGUGAACGUCCCUGCAUCAAGAGCUCAGCUGGGCCAAAGAAUAAGAAGAAAGGGAAGCCUUUCUGCGCAGACGCAGACGGUCAUUACCUGAGGACGAUGGAGGCCGGGAAGAUCAAGGAGAGGCAGACGGAUGAUGUCGAUCCGAAGAUCUGGAAUAGGAUCCAUAUGUUGGGAAUACCGAUGGCGGCUGAGUAGACGAGUGCCGCCAAUCCGAGCGUCAUAGAGACGAAGCGGGUGUCGUCGUAUGGCAGCGGCCGCGAUCUCGGGAAGAGCAGCCCAUCCAGGUUGAUCCGCAGAGAAAAGUUGAGGAGGGGGUAGACCAGGACGAGGUGGAGGCCGUAGCUGAGACGGACGAUGUCGUUGACCAGCGGGGAGAUGCCUGCACCGGAAGUUCUGUCGAAGUUGGAGAGUAUGUCGGCCAUGGUGUCGUCCCCGAAGAGGAGGUAGCCGGAGAGGCCGACGGUGGCGUAGAUGACGGAGCAGAGGAUCAGAGAGAGCCUCACGGCCUUCGUCAUGUCCGACGACUUCUGCAGCUCCGCCCGGAUGGGAUGAACUGGGAAUACACGAGGAGUGGGCCAC
rnacentral:lncRNA from 1 species